CCCUUAGAUGUUCUGGGCCGCACGCGCGCUACACUGAUGCAUUCAACGAGUCUAAAACCUGCUCUGAUAGGGGUGGGUAAUCUUUUGAAUGUGCAUCGUGAUUGGGAUAGAUGAUUGCAAUUUUUCAUCUUCAACGAGGUAUGCCUAGUAAACGCAAGUCAUCAGCUUGCAUUGAUUACGUCCCUGCCCUUUGUACACACCGCCCGUCGCUCCUACCGAUUGAAUGAUCCGAUGAAUAUCAUGGAUUGAGGAUUAUAGCAGGUUCGCCUGUCUUGAUCUUCGAGAAGUGAAGUAAAUCUUAUCAUUUAGAGGAAGGAGAAGUCGUAACA
rnacentral:rRNA from 1 species